rnacentral:rRNA from 1 species
AGUGAACGCUGGCGGUAGGCCUAACACAUGCAAGUCGAACGGCAGCACAGUAAGAGCUUGCUCUUACGGGUGGCGAGUGGCGGACGGGUGAGGAAUACAUCGGAAUCUACUUUUUCGUGGGGGAUAACGUAGGGAAACUUACGCUAAUACCGCAUACGACCUACGGGUGAAAGCAGGGGAUCUUCGGACCUUGCGCGAUUGAAUGAGCCGAUGUCGGAUUAGCCAGUUGGCGGGGUAAAGGCCCACCAAGGCGACGAUCCGUAGCUGGUCUGAGAGGAUGAUCAGCCACACUGGAAGUGAGACACGGUCCAGACUGCUACGGGAGGCAGCAGUGGGGAAUAUUGGACAAUGGGCGCAAGCCUGAUCCAGGCAGACCGCGUGGGUGAAGAAGGCCUUCGGGUUGUAAAGCCCUUUUGUUGGGAAAGAAAAGCAGCAGGUUAAUACCCCGCUGUUCUGACGGUACCCAAAGAAUAAGCACCGGCUAACUUCGUG